rnacentral:tRNA from 2 species
GCGGCGGUAGUUCAAUUGGCAGAACGCCAGACUGUUAAUCUGGAAGUUGGGGGUUCAAGCCCCCUCCGCCGCGCCA